CCCGAUCCCCGACCCUCGGGCCGGGUCUCGGCCGCGUAGGGCUGCGCCCCAACAGGUAUUUCAGGGUUUCUCCCCUCUCCCCGCCCCAGCGAGGCGCAGAGCCUUUUCCUCCUCUUUGGGCGGUUUCCAGCUGCCUCCCCAGGGUGAAGAAACGCAAACAAUGAUUUGAGAGAAUUACAAUCGCUCUUUUAAAAGUGAGGAAUCCAAAAUGCAGGGCACUGCCGGCUCUUAGGAGAGAGAAGUUACAGGAGGAAAAGGAGUCCAUCUGAAGAGGGGAGCGCGAGGGAGCCUUUGAGGCAGUUAAAGAAGCUGAAGGCCAUAGAUGCAGAGCCGACUUUCUGCCUCUGCCUUUGACCUCGUUAAGCCUUCUGCAGGGGCGAGACGGUCUCUUCCGCGGCACGCUGUCCUCUGGUGGCCGGGGGAUGUUACUGCAGCUCCAAAGGGAUUACUAUCUACGCUCCAACAGGUAACCUCUAAAAACGGACUGCCUAUAGACCUGCUGUCUUCAGAACAGUUACCGAAGAGAGAGUUGGAGAGGAUCUGCAUCUCCAGUCUGCUUAGUUGGAGGAGUUGAGAUUCGGAAGAAGGAAGGAAAAGAGAGAGAAUCCUUGUCCUAGACUAGAUCCUGGAUCUAUUGGAUGAAAAGAUGGAUCCUGCCUGGAUGAAAGACCUCUUUACAUGCUGCAGCUCCAGUCACCUUAUUCUGACACAACUUGAAACCUCUCUCUCUCCUCUUUCUUCAUUGACACAAUUAAAUUGGAGCACCUUCCAUAUGUGUGCUAUUAUGGGAGUCUCCCACUGUAUAUCAUCUAAUUAGGGAAACAACACAAAUUAAAACCAAUUAAAAACCGAA